AUUGAACGCUGGCGGCAUGCUUUACACAUGCAAGUCGAACGGUAACAGGCCUUCGGGUUCUGACGCUUGGCGAACGGUUGUGUAAUUCAUCGGUACGUACCCUGAGGUUGGGGUUAACGCAGCGUCAGCUGUCUUAAUACUUCAUGUGAUCUGAGGAUGUACGCGGGGGACCGAGCUGCAAUGUUUGGCCUCGUGCCUUUGGAUCGGCCGCUGUCGGUUUUGCUAGUUGGGGGGGUAAUGGCCUACCAAGGCGACGAUCCGUAGCUGGUCUGAGAGUACGACCAGCGACACGGGGAGUGAGACAGGGCCCAGAGUCCUGAGGGAGGGAGCAGUGGGGAAUUUUGGACAAUGGGGGCAAGCCUGAUACAGCAAUGCCGCGUGCGGGAAGAAGGCCUUCGGGUUGUAAACCGCUUUUGGCAGGAACGAAACGGUGUCCGCUAAUACCGGGCGCUAAUGACGGUACCUGGAGAAUAAGCACCGGCUAACUACGUG
rnacentral:rRNA from 1 species